rnacentral:rRNA from 1 species
UUGMCCUCAAAUCAGGUAGGAUUACCCGCUGAACUUAAGC